GGUCCUGUCCAGCUAAAUUGGUAGAGCAUGGCAUUAACCCUGCCAGGGUUAUGGGUUCGAUUCCCACUGGGGCCA